GGUACAAGGCUACCUAGGACAACAGUUGUAAAUUUUGAAAUGAAAAUUUUCUAUAGAAAAAGGGGCCAAUUGUGAUGAGUUUCCAAAAGAAAUUUGUGCGCGCAAACGUUCCGAAACACUGAGGCUGCGUGUGCGAUGCCUGGCGGAUGAAAGACGAAUUAAAGAGCAAGGACGUCGCAUUUAAAGGGACGAUUUUACGAAAAUAUCGAUUUGUGAAUCACGAAAAUAUUUCCAAAAUUAAGGGUGACGGCCAAAAAAGCAGCAUAAUUUACCGCACAAUUUGAAGCUAAAAAAAGAGGAUACACUUCAGCUCAGGGUCGCUAGACAACUCCUUUUGUGGGCAACUACGUUGUGGGUUUGCGAGCUUCGGGCUGGAGGCGCGCUCGCCCGAGAACGUGGUGAAGGCCGGCUCCGGGCGGGACAAA